rnacentral:rRNA from 1 species
GACGAACGCUGGCGGCGUGCUUAACACAUGCAAGUCGAACGGAAAGGCCCUGCUUUUGUGGGGUGCUCGAGUGGCGAACGGGUGAGUAACACGUGAGUAACCUGCCCUUGACUUUGGGAUAACUUCAGGAAACUGGGGCUAAUACCGGAUAGGAGCUCCUGCUGCAUGGUGGGGGUUGGAAAGUUUCGGCGGUUGGGGAUGGACUCGCGGCUUAUCAGCUUGUUGGUGGGGUAGUGGCUUACCAAGGCUUUGACGGGUAGCCGGCCUGAGAGGGUGACCGGCCACAUUGGGACUGAGAGACGGACCAGACUGGUACGGGAGGCAGCAGGGGGGAAUAUUGCACAAUGGGAGGAAGCGUGAUGCAGAAACGCCGCGUGCGGGAUGACGGCCUUCGGGUUGUAAACAGCUUUCGCCUGUGACGAAGCGUGAGUGACGGUAAUGGGUAAAGAAGCACCGGCUAACUACGUG